ensembl:lncRNA LINC01322 long intergenic non-protein coding RNA 1322
AUGCUGACCUUUUCAUGAGUAAGGGGGGAAGUCCUCCUGCCUGACUACCUUUGAACUGGGACAUGUGCCUUUUUUUUCUGCCUUCAGACUCAAACUAAACGUCAGCUUUUCCCGGCUCUCAAGCCUGCUGGUCCCUGAACUAAAACUCACAUUAUCAACUCUACUGGUUCUUAGGCCUUUGGAGUCAGACUGGAACUACAGCAUUGACUCUUCCGGAACUCCAGCUUACUGACUACAGAUCUUGGAACUUUUCAGCUUCCACAACCAUGCUUUGGUAUCAGGAUGAUGCUGGCCUCAUAAAAUGAGUCAGGGAGGAUUCCCUCUUUUUCUAUUGAUUGGAAUAGUUUCAGAAGGAAUGGUACCAGCUCCUCUUUGUACCUCUGGUAGAAUUCAGCUGUGAAUCCAUCUGGUCCUGGAGUUUUUUUGGUUGAAUGAAAGCCAAGCAUAUUCCAUCAUUUCCUAAAACCAAGAUAGAGCACAUAUGGGAACUUGUGAAAUAAGGAUGCCCUGCGGUUGUUUUCAGGACUGAAGACAACAGCUCCACGAUGUAUCUUUGCAUAAGAAUACACUUGUAUAAUAAGUUUUUUUUUUUAGAGAAAUUGCAUGUAUCUGCCUUAUAAACUUUUUCAUUCAUUCAUUUUCUUUCUUCCUAAUCUGUUCCAUAAAGCAAAUUUCUAACU